CCUGGCGGCCGUAGCGCGGUGGUCCCACCUGACCCCAUGCCGAACUCAGAAGUGAAACGCCGUAGCGCCGAUGGUAGUGUGGGGUCUCCCCAUGCGAGAGUAGGGAACU
rnacentral:rRNA from 3 species